rnacentral:misc_RNA from 1 species
GAUGAAGAACGCAGCGAAAUGCGAUAAGUAGUGUGAAUUGCAGAAUUCAGUGAAUCAUCGAAUCUUUGAACGCAUCUUGCGCUCCUUGGUAUUCUGAGGAGCAUGCCUGUUUGAGUGUCAUUUCAAGUUCUCAACCACAUCAAUUUCAAUGUGGCUUGGAUGGUGGGGGUUCUUUUUGCAGGCUUCUGUAAAUAUGAAGUCGGCUCCCCUGAAAUGUAUUAGUGGUAUCUGAGCUACUACAGGUGUGAUAACUAUCUAUGCCUUGGUAUGCUGCAUGAAACAGAUUGCGCCGCUUCUAACAAGUGGGAAACACAAUUUUGAUGAAUUUGACCUCAAAUCAGGUAGGACUACCCGCUGAACUUAAGCAUAUCAAUAAGCGGAGGA